rnacentral:rRNA from 1 species
CGCAGCCGCGGUAAUUCCAGCUCCAAUAGCGUAUAUUAAAGUUGUUGCAGUUAAAAAGCUCGUAGUUGAAUUUUAGGCCUGGCCAGGCGGUCCGUCUUUGGCGAGUACUGUCUUGUUGUCGGGUCUUCCUUCUGGUGAACCAGUAUGCCCUUUAUUGGGUGUGUUGGGGAGCCAGGACCAUUACCUUGAAAAAAUUAGAGUGUUUAAAGCGGGUUAUUGCUUGAAUAGAUUAGCAUGGAAUAAUAGAAUAGGACGUUGUGGUUCUAUUUUGUUGGUUUCUAGGACCACCGUAAUGAUUAAUAGGGAUAGUUGGGGGCAUUAGUAUUCAAUUGUCAGAGGUGAAAUUCUUGGAUUUAUUGAAGACUAACUAUUGCGAAAGCAUUUGCCAAGGAUGUUUUCAUUAAUCAAGAACGAAAGUUAGGGGAUCGAAGACGAAUCAGAUACCGUCGUAGUCUUAACCAUAAACUAUGCCGACUAGGAAUCGGGCGACGUUAUUUUAAUGACUCGCUCGGCGUCUUAU